UUUCUAGUUCAUCCUUCCAGUAGUCAUAUGCUUGUCUCAAAGAUUAAGCCAUGCAUGUGUAAGUAUGAAUAAAUUCAGACUGUGAAACUGCGAAUGGCUCGUUAAAUCUAUUAUACUUUGUUUGAUGGUAUCUACUACUUGGAUAACCAUAGUAAUUCUAGAGCUAAUACCUGCAACAAACCCCGACUUCUAGAAGGGAUGCAUUUAUUAGAUAAAAGGUCGAUGUGGGCUCUGCCUAUUGCUGCGAUGAUUCAUUAUAACUUGAUGGAUCGCACGACCAUUAUGCUAGCGAUACAUCAUUCAAUUUUUUACCCUAUCAAAUUUCGAUGGUAGGAUGGUGGCCUACCAUGGUGGUGUCAGGUGAUGGUGAAUGAGGGUUCAAUUUUGGAGAGGGAGCUUAAGAAAUGGCUACCAUAUCCAAGGAAGGCAAAAGGCACGAAAAUUACCCAAUCGUGACACGGGGAGGUAGUGAUAAUAAAUAAUAAUAACGGUCUCAAUACGUUUGGUAAUUGGAUGAGUACAAUCUAAAUUCCUUAACGAGGAUCCAUUAGAGGGUAAGUCUGAUGCAAGCACCCACGGUAAUUCCAGCUCCAAUAGCAUAAAUUUAAGUUGUUGCAGUUAAAAUGCUCGUAGUUAGACUUUGGGAUGGGUUGGAAGGUCUGCCUAUAGCGUGCACUGGUCGUCUCAUCCUUUCUGUCGGCGAUGCACUCCUGGCCUUAACUGGAAAGGUCGUGCCUCCGGCGCUGCUACUUUGAAGAAAUUAGAGUGCUCAAAGAAAGCCUACGCUCUUUAUACAUUAGCAUGGGAUAACAUUAUAGGAUUUUGGUCCUAUUAUGUUGGCCUUUCUGAUCGGAGUAAUGAUUAACAGAGACUGUCAGGGGCAUUCGUAUUUCAUAGUAAGAGGUAAAAUUUAUUAAUUUAUGAAAGAUGAACAACUGCGAAUGUAUUUACCAAGGAUUUUUUCAUUAAUCAAGAACGAAAGUUGGGGGCUUGAAGACGAUCAGAUACCUUCCUAGUCUUUACCAUAAAUGAUGCCGACCAAUGAUCGGUGGAUGUUGGUUUUAGGACUCUGUUGGCACCUUAUGAAAAAUCAAAGUUUUUAGGUUUUGGGGGGAGUAUGGUUGCAAGGCUGAAACUUAAAGUAAUUGAUGGAAGGGCACCACCAGGAGUGGAUCCUACGGCUUAAUUUGACUCAACAUGGGGAAACAUACCGAGUCCAGACAUAGUAAGGAUUAACAGAUAGAGAGAUCUUUCUUAAUUCUAUGGGUGGUGGUGCAUAGCCAUUCUUAGUUUGAAUAGCGAUUUGUCUAGUCAAUUCUGUUAACGAACGAGACCUCAGCUUGCUAAAUAGCUAUGCAGAUGUAUCUCUUCGUAGACAGCUUAUUAGAGGUACUACGACCUUCUAGGCCACAGAAGUUUGAGGAAACAAAAGGUCUGUGGUGCCCAUAGAUGUUCUUAGCUGCACCUGCACUACACUGAUGUAUUCAACGAGUUUAUAGCCUUGACCGACAGGCCCGAGUAAUCUUUGAAAUUUCAUCAUGAUAGGGAUUGACCAUUGCAAUUGUUGGUCCUCAAUGAGGAAUUCCUUGGAAGCGCUACUCAUCAGCUCACACUGACUACGUGCCUACCAUUUGUACACAUCGCUAUCUCUCUUACUGAUUGAAUGAUAUGGUGAAAUAUUCUAAUCGCGGUGACAUGGGUGGUUCUCUUCCCACGACAUGGUGAGAAUUUCAUUGAACCUUAUCAUUUAGAGGAAGGGGAAGCCGUGAUAAGGUUUACAUAGGUGAACCUGCGGAAGGAUCAUUG
rfam:Capsicum annuum cultivar Zunla-1 chromosome 2, whole genome shotgun sequence